GUCUACAGCCACAUCAGAAUAAGUCUCCCUGAUCUCAGAGAUUAAGCAGUCCCCAGCCUAGUAAGUAUUUGGAUAAGAGACCACUUGGCAAUUCCACAUAGCGUUAGACA
rnacentral:rRNA from 2 species